rnacentral:misc_RNA from 1 species
GAAACAAUCUCAUAACUCAUCCUUGCAAUCAAUUUGUGUUAGUAAUUGAGUGAGUGAGAAAUCAUCUUAUACACACUGGUGGGUACUUCCACCACAACCUUACCCUAGUAAUAUAUUAUACAAGAAUGCCCCGCAAAAAACCAGUAUUUUGGAUUUAUUUACACAGGGACAAAGUCAGAUUCAACUAUCACCACAAUGAGCCAACAGAGUUGGCUUCCGGUAACCACCGCAUCAAAUGGCAUUCAAGGUUGGAGGGCCACCAUCAUCAUGCAAUAGCAUUGUGUGCACACGAGUACAAAAAGUUAAACCAAAGCGUUGUUCUAUCUCCUAAGAUGAUCACGGGUGAAAAACGGAUGCCGCAAGGCUUCCCGAGCAGUUAAUCUUUCUGAAGGAUCAUAUCUAAGAAGUCCUUGCAAAAGAUUAAUAAGAUCACCUGCAGAAUGAUCCACAUGCUGCAUGAUAAUGUUCUGAAGACGGGCCAACUUUAACACAGCUCUAAUACUAUCCCGGGAAGUUGCCCCCUCAGGCCAGUCCAACCGUCCUCUUCUAACAUACUUCUCUGCUUGACGGUCCACUCUUUUCAGCAUGUGCUGAGGCAGGGGGCCCAGUACUUUCUCCAUCAUAGCAAGGUGCUCUAAAUUCUCGUGCGUCUGAAACAAUGCUUCUCCCGAACAAAGUUCCACAAGGAUACAGCCAACACUCCAUAUAUCACAAGGGUACGUCCACCCAAGACCUAGGAUAACUUCAGGUGCACGGUAAUGACGAGUUGACACAACAUAUGUCUGAUUCUGGCGGUCAUAUGUAGUGCUACCAAAAUCAAUUACCUUUAUAGCACUUGAUUUUGGGAUUCUUUUAUAGUAAGAACCAUCUUUUGGUGACCUAGAAGACACCUUGUAGUCAGGAACCUUUACAUAUUCUGGGGAGAUGAGAAGUAUGUUCUCAGGCUUCAGGUCAGUAUGGAUAAGGCGCAAAUCAUGCAUAACGAUUGCCAUUAUCAUGUUUACCAAGCUGUUGAAGCAUUUCAACCUCUAUCAUUGCGGCAUCACGAUACUUCUUCAUACCCCGAACAAUUUUGAUAGCCACCAUUUCUUUCCUUUCGCGAUCCCAGCAUUCUAGGACCUGACCGAAAGUACCUUCACCCAUCUUACUGUGGAUCUUAUAGCGUGGUGUUAAAUUUUCUCCCAGCUCAAACACAAAAUGUCCAUCCUUGUCAUCUUCUCUCCGAGGGGGAGAACCAUUUUGAGCCACUCCCUUAAUAGUAAAGGGAGCACUAGUAAGGUCAGUGAGUUGCCUUGAAGAUGCAUAGCUUGUCACAUUCCCCACAUCUUGUCCACAAAACAAUCCUAGCUGAGCCUUAGGCGGUUCAGGAAGAACAUCCCAGCCCAGACGCGCCCUCUUUCUUGGCCGCCGAUCAAGAUUCGUCAACGGAAAGCCGGUCACGCGCUCAGUUUCCAUGGCAGAAAGCUUACAAAUUUAGAGAGAGAAAACAAUUGCAAAGAAAGUUAGGAAAAG